rnacentral:tRNA from 2 species
GCACCUAUGGUGGAAUUGGCAGACACGCCAGAUUUAGGAUCUGGUGCCGCGAGGCGUGCAGGUUCAAGUCCUGUUAGGUGCACCA